rnacentral:tRNA from 1 species
GCCCCGGUAGCUCAGCGGAUUAGAGCGCCUCCCUGCGGAGGAGGAGGUCACAGGUUCGAAUCCUGCCCGGGGUG